AGGAUGUGCCUGGCUCCCUGUAUGCCACUCAUCUAGAGCAACGACAGCUUGGUAGGGUUGCCUAUAAGAUGGAUGGCGUGCAUGGUGCCAAGCAUAUCUC
rnacentral:pre_miRNA from 1 species